rnacentral:rRNA from 1 species
UACGGAGGGUGCGAGCGUUGUCCGGAAUCACUGGGCGUAAAGGGCGCGUAGGCGGCUUGGGAAGUCCGUGGUGAAAGCCCGAGGCUCAACUUCGGGUCGGCCAUGGAUACUCCUAAGCUCGAGUCGACUAGAGGCUAAUGGAAUUCCGGGUGUAGCGGUGGAAUGCGUAGAGAUCCGGAAGAACACCGGUGGCGAAGGCGGUUGCCUGGAGCUUUGCUGACGCUGAUGCGCGAAAGCGUGGGGAGCGAUCCGG